rnacentral:rRNA from 1 species
GUAACACGUGGCCAAACUACCCUUCGGACCACAAUACCCUCGGGAAACUGAGGCUAAUAGUGGACACCACAGUCUACCUGGAAUGAAGACUGUGCCAAACGCUCCGGCGCCGAAGGAUGUGGCUGCGGCCGAUUAGGUAGACGGUGGGGUAACGGCCCACCGUGCCAAUAAUCGGUACGGGUCAUGAGAGUGAGAACCCGGAGACGGAAUCUGAGACAAGAUUCCGGGCCCUACGGGGCGCAGCAGGCGCGAAACCUUUACACUGCACGACAGUGCGAUAAGGGAAUCCCAAGUGCACAGGCAUAGAGCCUGUGCUUUUGUACACCCUAGGGCGGUGUACGAAUAAGGGCUGGGCAAGACCGGUGCCAGCCGCCGCGGUAAUACCGGCAGCCCAAGUGAUGGCCGAUCUUAUUGGGCCUAAAGCGUCCGUAGCUGGCCGCACAAGUCCAUCGGGAAAUCCACCUGCCCAACAGGUGGACGCCCGGUGGAAACUGUGUGGCUUGGGACCGGAAGGCGCGACGGGUACGUCCGGGGUAGGAGUGAAAUCCCGUAAUCCUGGACGGACCGCCGAUGGCGAAAGCACGUCGCGAAAACGGAUCCGACAGUGAGGGACGAAAGCCAGGGUCUCGAACCGGAUUAGAUACCCGGGUAGUCCUGGCCGUAAACAAUGUCUGUUAGGUGUGGCUCCCACUACGAGUGGGUGCUGUGCCGUAGGGAAGCCGCUAAACAGACCGCCUGGGAAGUACGUCCGCAAGGAUGAAACUUAAAGGAAUUGGCGGGGGAGCACUACAACCGGAGGAGCCUGCGGUUUAAUUGGACUCAACGCCGGACAUCUCACCAGCAUCGACUGUAAUAAUGACGACCAGGUUGAUGACCUUGUCCGAGUUUCAGAGAGGAGGUGCAUGGCCGCCGUCAGCUCGUACCGUGAGGCGUCCUGUUAAGUCAGGCAACGAGCGAGACCCGCAUCCCUACUUGCCAGCAGUACUUCACAGUAGCUGGGGACAGUACGGAGACCGCCGUGGCCAACACGGAGGAAGGAACGGGCAACGGUAGGUCAGUAUGCCCCGAAUGUGCUGGGCAACACGCGGGCUACAAUGGUCGAGACAAAGGGUUCCAACUCCGAAAGGAGACGGUAAUCUCAGAAACUCGAUCGUAGUUCGGAUUGUGGGCUGCAACUCGCCCACAUGAAGCUGGAUUCGGUAGUAAUCGCGUGUCAUAAGCGCGCGGUGAAUACGU